GGUGGCUCAGUGGUAGAGCACUUGCCUUGCAUGCAUGAGGCCCUGAGUUCGAUUGCUCAGCACCA
rfam:Dipodomys ordii contig_42379, whole genome shotgun sequence.